GGCAUCACUUUAUAAUUAAAGUCACAACGGUGAAAGAUGAGCAUGCGUCCCAUUAGCUAGAUGGUAAGGUAACGGCUUACCAUGGCUACGAUGGGUAGGGGUCCUGAGAGGGAGAUCCCCCACACUGGUACUGAGACACGGACCAGACUCCUACGGGAGGCAGCAGUGAGGAAUAUUGGUCAAUGGGCGCAAGCCUGAACCAGCCAUGCCGCGUGCAGGAUGACGGUCCUAUGGAUUGUAAACUGCUUUUGUACGAGAAGAAACAACAUUACGUGUAAUGUCUUGACGGUAUCGUAAGAAUAAGGAUCGGCUAACUCCGUGCCAGCAGCCGCGGUAAUACGGAGGAUCCGAGCGUUAUCCGGAAUCAUUGGGUUUAAAGGGUCCGUAGGCGGUUUAGUAAGUCAGUGGUGAAAGCCCAUCGCUCACGGUGGAACGGUCAUUGAUACUGCUAGACUUGAAUUAUUGGGGAAGUAACUAGAAUAUGUAGUGUAGCGGUGAAAUGCUUAGAGAUUACAUGGAAUACCAAUUGCGAAGGCAGGUUACUACCAAUGGAUUGACGCUGAUGGACGAAAGCGUGGGGAGCGAACAGGAUUAGAUACCCUGGUAGUCCACGCCGUAAACGAUGGAUACUAGCUGUUGGGCGCAAGUUCAGUGGCUAAGCGAAGGUGAUAAGUAUCCCACCUGGGGAGUACGGGCGCAAGCCUGAAACUCAAAGGAAUUGACGGGGGCCCGCACAAGCGGUGGAGCAUGUGGUUUAAUUCGAUGAUACGCGAGGAACCUUACCAAGGCUUAAAUGUAGAUUGACCGAUUUGGAAACAGAUCUUUCGCAAGACAAUUUACAAGGUGCUGCAUGGUUGUCGUCAGCUCGUGCCGUGAGGUGUCAGGUUAAGUCCUAUAACGAGCGCAACCCCUGUUGUUAGUUGCCAGCGAGUCAUGUCGGGAACUCUAACGAGACUGC
rnacentral:rRNA from 1 species